rnacentral:rRNA from 1 species
UACGUAGGGGGCAAGCGUUGUCCGGAUUUAUUGGGCGUAAAGAGCUCGUAGGCGGCUGCUCAAGUCGAAUGUGAAAACUCGAGGCUCAACCUCGAGCCUGCAUUCGAUACUGGGCGGCUAGAGUCUGGUAGGGGGAUCUGGAAUUCCUGGUGUAGCGGUGGAAUGCGCAGAUAUCAGGAGGAACACCGGUGGCGAAGGCGGUUCUCUGGGAAUGUCCUGACGCUGAGGAGCGAAAGUGUGGGGAGCGAACAGG